rnacentral:rRNA from 1 species
UACGGAGGGAGCUAGCGUUGUUCGGAAUUACUGGGCGUAAAGCGCGCGUAGGCGGCUUUGUAAGUUAGAGGUGAAAGCCCGGGGCUCAACCCCGGAAUUGCCUUUAAGACUGCAUCGCUUGAAUCCGGGAGAGGUGAGUGGAAUUCCGAGUGUAGAGGUGAAAUUCGUAAGAUAUUCGGAAGAACACCAGUGGCGAAGGCGGCUCACUGGACCGGCAUUGACGCUGAGGUGCGAAAGCGUGGGGAGGCAAACAGGA